rnacentral:lncRNA from 1 species
CGUUCAGUUUGAACACUAGGAUCACGAAGCCCAACGGCAAGAAGCCAGACAAGUUCAAGUUCGGCAUCUCCCAGGCUCUUCUGGAGCCAAAGAUGAACGUGGACCUCAAGGCUCAGCUCAGGGAGCUGAAUAUCACAGCAGCCAAGGAAACUGAAGUUGGUGGUAGUCAGAAAGCUAUCAUAAUCUUUGUUCCUGUUUCUCGACUGAAAUCUUCCCAGAAAAUCCAAGUCUGGCUAGUAUGUGAAUUGGAGAAAAAGUUCAGUGAGAAGCAUGUUGUCUUUAUUGCUCAGAGGAGAAUUCUGCCUAAGCCAACUUGAAAAAGCCAUACAAAAAAUAAGCAAAAGCAUCACAGGAGCUGUACUCUGAUAGCUGCGUACCAUGCGAUCUUGAGGACUUGGUCUUUCCAAGUGAAAUUGUGGGCAAGAGAAUCCACUUGAAACUGGAUGGCAGCUGCCUCGCAAAAGUUCAUUUGGACAAAGCACAGCAGAACAAUGUGGCACACAAGGUUGAAACUUUUCUGGUGUCUUUAAGAAGCUCAUAGGUAACGAAGUUAAUUUUGAAUUCCCAGAGUUUCACUUGUAA